GUCAUAAAACAUCAGAGUAUUUAUUACAUAGCGGAAGACUUAUUACAAAAUAAAAGAAUAAAUAUAAAACGAACUAAGGAUCGUUGGCGCCAAUGUCGACUGAGAAACGCCACCUAGAUCAGAUCAAACUCCUCGCCUUGUAGCUCCUCCUGAACCACCUGCUCUUCUCCUGUGGGGGGGGUGUGAGACAGCAAGAGUGAGCUCACAUACGUUCAUCGCUCAACAAGUCGUGGGGAAUAAUGUGGCAUGAACUCACCAAAGGUGGGAGUUCAUGAAGUGUAAGGCUGAUCAAUGAAAUAGAGGCUGAAGCUGAGCAUUGCUUUUAUAAGUUGGUCAAAAUUUUAUUAGCAAUUACUAAGUGUAAGUAAAUACCAAACCUUAAUAAUAAUAAAUAAAGUAAUAGUAAAAUAAUCCCAAAUGCGAUGCAAAUGUCAAAUUGAAUUUAAGUUCCAUAAUUAAUCAUGUGAGGGUCCGAGCCGCUCAUGACCGUGAGCACGGCUAGUAUACCAGUUUUACACUCUGCAGAGGUUGCGCAUCUUUACCCACAAGUCAUGUUACCCAUCUGCCAAGAGAUGGCCAAUCCCAUACACCUCUACCGAGGAGGCGAGGCAGGGUAACACUACGAGGCCUUUACAAAGUUCCACUAGCUUCAGAAAUCCCGCUACAGUUUAUAGGAAGCUCCAAUACAGGGUUCUUGCCUGACCGCCAUCGCAGCAAAAUCAACCCAAGGACCUCCCUACACUGACCACUCCCCUACUGCCCUUGCCCCUUUCGGGUAAGGAAGACCUCCACUAGCUUUCCUAGUUAAUCAGCCAAGGGCGUCCCAUUAUACCCUUGUGGUAGCACUGUUUUCCCGGGUGGUCGCUCCAUGUUCCCAUUAAUUUAAUGAUCUUAACAUGAACAGUAAUAAUAACAAGAUAAUAACAGGAUAAUCAUGUGUAGUAUAACUCCAUACCCAAUCCACAUAAAGCAAUAGCAAGUACUACCCAAAAAUAUUUCAGGGGUGAACAAGGUAUAGAGGUAAUCAAAACUGGGGUAACAUAAAGGAUCCCAUCAAAAUUAACCUAUGCAGAUCAUUAAAAUUAAUAAGAACAUGGCUGGGAAAAGUAAGUGAUCAAGGGCACAACUUGCCUUCAAUGAGCUCCUGCUCAGCUAUCUCUACUUGCUGAACCUCAGAUUCCACAGUGGCUUGCUCGUCUACUCUCGCAUCAACACAAUACAUACAUAGUAUAGCACCAAUUAACAUUGCACCAAACAUGUGAAUAAAAUACACAAUAAAAUUUUACGCAUUAAAAUAAGAACCUAGGAACAGGAAUCAUAAUUUUUAGAGUUAUAGAUUUUAAGUUAUGAAUUUCCUAAGGUUUAAUGUGCUUGAGAUAGGAUUAAAUGAUAAAUUAAUUUUCUUACUGUUUUCAUGCCAAAACAGAGGCACUAAAUGAUAGAGGAUAUUAUUAAAAAAUUUUAGAAAUAUGGCUCAAUUUGGAGCUAUAAUGAAUUUAAUAUGAUUUAUCCAAGUUUCUGGAAUUGUUUUUAUACUAAAAACCUAUUUUCUUUAUUAUUCCUGAAUUUCCUAAGAGUUCUGGACCACAGACAUAAUUAACAGAGAGUUCGGGGCUUAAACUACAAAUUCCAGGGCUCGGUUCUAAUUAUUUAACACUGUGCGCGGAUGGCGGGUUCAUUUGAAAAGAGUCCGAGGGCUCUUUUGCAAAAGGCCCAGGACGAAGGGGUAUGGGGGAUCUCUGGCCGCAAGAUCGACAACGGACGGCUACGAUUAGAUCUGGCCUAUUAUGAAACGUUACGCGACGACGUCCCUCGGAUCAGAGACCAACGGUGUGGAUUUAAAAAAAAUGACCGCGGCAGGUUCACGUCCGUCCGAUAGCAUCCGACGGCUUAGAACCAAUGCGCGAAGCGGUACGACCGCUGCCCUAAUCUGCACCGUCGACCCGUCAAUCAACGGCAACGGCAAUUUGCCCCCAGGCUUCUUCAACCUCACGACGCGGCUUCCUCACCGGAGCAACGCGUUGCCACUUCCUCACCGGAGCAACGCGAGCCCACCCCCAGGUGACCCAAUCACGAACCUAACCGGUGAUAGUGCAUAAGUAAGGAUGACGGUACGAAGGGGGCCACUUACUGGCGAAGAUGCCGUGAUGAACACCUUCCACGGCGAGGUAUGGCCCGUGGCGAAUCCACUGGGUCAGGUGAGGGCUCCCGGUGUCCUCCCUGUUCCCCCGCGGCCACCAGUACGCGCUCGGUACGGUCUUGCGCGCGCACCGGUCUGCGUCCAGGAUACCGAGAUGAAGCACACGCCCCCAAAUCCAUUGGCGCCCGUGAUUCCUUCUCAUCUCCACGAACUCGUCAAUGGCGACCACUCAUCACCCCGGUUUGCGCGACUGUGCACAACGCAGCAUGGCUAGAUGAGAAUAGCUGCGAGAUGGGAUAGCGGCACCCGAUACUUAAACCUGCGAGGGCACCGCAACGGCCCGAGAAGAGGGGGAAAUCUGGUCAGCAGAGCGCGCGAUGCGCACGGCGUCUAUUACGGGUAACCAGCGAAGGAGAAGGAGCUGACCGGGGGCCCCGCUGUUCAGUGCGAUGGAUUUAUGGUCAAGGACUGUCGCACCGGACCACCGGUCAUCGGAAAAGCGGGCACGGUUGGAGACUGACGUCUGGGCCCACACGGCGAAGCACGCAGCGAAGCCCGUGGUGGACGAUUGAGGCAGACGGCUGCAGUUGGGGCCCACACGUCGGUGACUGGCGCACGGUUUAGAGAAUUGGGCUGCGUAGAGGAGUUCACAGGGUGGGCUGAAUUGCAAGCCAAAGGCCCAGCUAAGUUAAUUACCCCUUUUCUUUUAUUCUAUUGGAAUUUCCAUUUACAAAUUUGAAUUUGGUUUUCAAUUCCCAAAUCCAAUUGAAAUUCAAAGUUCACGGCAAAUUUGUCUUCACAUUUAUAUGCUCAAUUCCUCUACACAUAGUAUGGAUAAAUUUAUUUAUUUCUCCAUUUAUUCUAUUUUGCAUAAUAUUUCCUUUCUCUAACUCAAACCCUAAUUCUCUAUUUAGGAUUCCAAUUUCCUCUCAUUAUUAUAUUUCUUUUAUUAUUAUUAUUAUAUUGUCACAAAUAAUGCACACAAAAUAAAAUUUCAUCAUGAUGCAAUGAUUUAGUGGUAUACAUAUUUUAUAAUUAUCUGUUUUAAAAUAUGGUGUUCACAUGUGAUGGCACAAAAAGUUCAAACUCCCACAUAGAUAAAGUGAACUUGUUUCUCCCUUUGAUAUUAGCUCUUGCAAAUUACAAAUCGGGUAUUACAAAUCCUACCCCCCUUAAAAAGAAUCUCAUCCUCGAGAUUUAAGAAGGUCUAGUGAAAAGGUGGGGAAAAUAUAUGCGGAGUUCUUCUUCUCUUUCCCAAGUUACUUCAUCCUCUCCAUGGUGACUCCAUUGCACUUUGCACAUCUUUGUCACCUUAUUUCUUGUAACUCAAGUUAAUGUAUCCAGAAUCUUGAUAGGUUACUCCGUGUAAGUCAAAUCCUCCUGAACACUGAGCUCGUCCAUUGGUAGCUGUUCCUCAGGGACACGGAGACACUUCUUAAGUUGAGACACAUGAAAUACAUUAUGCACAUCAGAUAGAUUAUCAGGUAGCUCGAGUUGAUAGGCCAUCUCUCCAACUUGCCUAAAAACUCAGAACGGUCCAAUAUAGCGAGGGGACAAUUUUCCCUGAUUAUACAGACCUGUUCUUCUGCCUAUUGAAUAAGUUUGGGUCCAAAGAACUGUCUUCCUCUAGUCUGGUCCAAUAUAGAGGAAUCCUGCAUUUCCUGCCAUAUAGAGCCUCGAACGGUGACAUCUUCAGACUGGCCUGGUAACUAUUAUGAGAACACAGCAUAAGGUAGACUCUUGUCCCAACUACUACCAUGCUGAAGGACAUAAGCUCUCAACAUGUCCUCCAAUACUUGAUUAGUCCUUUUAGUCUGUCCAUCAGUCUGAGGAUGGUAGGCCAAACCAAAAUUCAACUUCAAAUCCAUAUUCUCACGACAACUUUUCCAAAAUCUGGAGGUAAAUUGUGAUCCUCUAUCCAAAAUGAUCUUCUUCGGUACACCAUGUAGAGACACAAUCCGAGCCAUAUAUAACUCAGCCAGUUGAGAUCACUUAUAAGUAGUCUUGAAAGAAAUGAAGUGAGCUAUUUUAGUCAAUCUAUCCAUAAUAACCCAUAUAGCAUCAUAUCCUUUCUGGGUGCGAGGCAAUCCAGUAAUGAAAUCCAUACCAAUCUCUUCCCACUUCCACUCGGGUAGCUUUAAUGGGUGUAGUAGUCUAGCUGGCCUCUGGUGUUCAGCCUUAACUCUUCGACCCACAUCGCACAUUGCCAUAUGUGCAGCCACAUCUCUCUUCAAUCCAUACCACCAGUAUUUCUGCUUCAAAUCCCGAUACAUCUUAGUGCUACCAAGAUGAAUACAAUAAUCCGAGUCAUGGCCUCCUUCAAUAUGGUUUCCCAAAGACUAUCAAUAUCGGGAACACAGAUCCGAUUCUUGAACCAUAUCGUGCCUUGCUCAUCCUCUGUGAAUUCCGGGCCUCUACCCUUCAGUAAUCAGAUCCUUCAUCUCUUGUAUCUUAGCAUCACCAAUUUGUCCUUUGCGGAUCUCUUGCUCCAAAAUAGGUUCCACAUCAAUAGUAACUCCUUCAGUGUGAGCAACUAUCCCCAGGUUAAGUCUCCUAAAAUCCUCAACAAUCUCAUCGGGUAGCUGGGCAACAACAACUGAAUGAACAUGCUCCUUUCGACUCAAGGCAUCUGCAACCAAAUUUGCCUUGCCCGGGUGAUAGUGAAUCUCCAAAUCAUAAUCCUUAAUAAGCUCCAACCAAUGGCGUUGCCUAAGGUUGAGAUCCUUCUGAGUGAAUAUAUACUUUAAAUACUUAUGAUCCGUAUACACUUGUCACUUGGUUCCAAUAUUAUAAUGUCUCCAAAUCUUAAGCGCAUGCACAACGGUUGCCAGUUCUAAGUCAUGAGUGGGGUAGUUCAACUCAUGUUUCCGUAACUGACGAGACGAGUAGACGAUCACAUGUCCUUCUUGCAUGAGCACACAUCCCAAUCCUUGGCUACAUGCAUCACAAUAAAUGUCAAAUCCCUUCUGCAGAUCUGGCAUAAUUAAUACUGGUGGUGACAUCAAUCUCUUCUUCAAUUAAUCGAAGCUGUCUUGGCAUUUCUCAUCCCACUAAUUCUCUUCCUUUCUCCAGAAGCGAGGUCAUAGGCUAGGCAAUCUUAGAGAACCCUUCAAUAAAUCUCCGAUAAUAUCCUACAAGCCCCAAGAAACUCCGAAUCUCAGUGACGGUAGUGGGCACGCUCCAUUCCAUUAUCUCCUUCACUUUAGCAGGAUCCACUGCUAUUCCUCCAUUAGAAAUAAUAUGACCAAGGAAUGGCACCUUGUCAAUCCAAAACUCGCACUUGCUAAACUUGGCAUAGAGUUGAUUAUCUCGUAGCUUCUGUAGCACCAAUCUCAGGUGUUCCUCAUGAUCACUUUCACUCUUAGAAUAGAUAAGAAUAUCGUCCAUAAAUACUACGACGAAUCUGUCCAAAUACUCCAUAAACACCUUAUUCAUCAAAUCCAUAAAAUAAGCUGGUGCAUUAGCUAAUCCAAACGACAUAACAGAGAACUCAUAUAAUCCAUAUCGAGUCGAGUAAGAUGUCUUGGGAAUAUCCGAUGACCUAAUCUUCAUUUGAUGAUAACCCGAUCGGAGAUCAAUCUUCGAGAAUACCCUUGCACCUCUUGUCUGUAUAAAUCCUCAAUGCGGGGUAAUGGACACUUGUUCUUCACAGUGACGUCGUUAAGGGACCUGUAAUCCACGUACACUCCUUGCGAUCCUUCUUUCUUCUGUACAAUUAGAAUCGACGCUCCAUAAGGUGAAGAAUUCGGAGGAAUGUACCCAGCCUCUUGCAACUCUGUUAAGUGCUUCUUUAGUUCUUUUAACUCUUCUACAGACAUUUUAUGUGUCCAUUUAGAAAUAGGAGCAAUUCCAGGUAAGAGAUCUAUGACAAACUCAACUUCCCUAUAUGGUGGCAUCCCUGGUAACUCUUCUGGAUAGACAUCCAGAAAAUCUCUAACUGCACGGAUGUUGUCACCCACAAACUUCUCAUCUACUAAGAUUGCCGCUAGUCUGAUGGUGGUAGUUACUGCAACUUCAACUUCAAAUCUUUGUCCUUUGGAACUGGUGAGUUCUACGGUUCCCUUAGCACGGUGUAUAUACUGCCUUUGCCUUUAUUAACCAUGAUAUACCAAGGAUCAUGUCUAUAGUGCUCUCUUCUAACACUAUAGGGGUAGCCCAUCUGGGUUAGAAACACAGGGGACGAAAGAAAGAAUUGUAGACAAGGCGAGUAAUUACGAGAAAUGUUACUGCGGGGGAUUUAUUAGCUAAGUAGAUUAGUGUGUUACCUACUAAAGCUAAUAUAUUACCUUAUGGUGGUACAUGCUAAGAUGCCCAACUAUAAUUUUUCAAUCAAUCAAAGAAGCAAAUCAGGCAUUGAUCAUCAGAACAAUCAACCAACAUUUUUUUAAAAAAUAGAGAAAAUAGUUUUAAUUUUGUCUUAGGUCUCCUAUCUCUUAAAAAGUUCAUAAAUGUAGGAUUCCAAGGUGUGAAAUUCAUCUUGUCUCAGAGUAGAAAAGGUAAGAAUGAUCAGAGUAGAACAGUAGAAGGUGAGACAGGAUCAAGGUAAGUAUAGAAAGAGUCAGAGUAAGGUAAGUAUAGGAUGAAUCAGAAUGAGAUAAGUAGGUAAGGGUUGUUCAUUUCUAUCUAGGUUUCGUCCUACAGUCAACAUUUCCUCUGAUACCACUUCUGUCACACCCGGUUUUAAAGGACAAAGCCGGGUGCAUCUCAUACAUGCGCCAAGAAGACAACAUAUAUAAUAACAGAGUGUAUAGAGAUAAAUGUCAUAAAACAUCAGAGUAUUUAUUACAUAGCGGAAGACUUAUUACAAAAUAAAAGAAUAAAUAUAAAACGAACUAAGGAUCGUUGGCGCCAAUGUCGACUGAGAAACGCCACCUAGAUCAGAUCAAACUCCUCGCCUUGUAGCUCCUCCUGAACCACCUGCUCUUCUCCUGUGGGGGGGGGUGUGAGACAGCAAGAGUGAGCUCACAUACGUUCAUCGCUCAACAAGUCGUGGGGAAUAAUGUGGCAUGAACUCACCAAAGGUGGGAGUUCAUGAAGUGUAAGGCUGAUCAAUGAAAUAGAGGCUGAAGCUGAGCAUUGCUUUUAUAAGUUGGUCAAAAUUUUAUUAGCAAUUACUAAGUGUAAGUAAAUACCAAACCUUAAUAAUAAUAAAUAAAGUAAUAGUAAAAUAAUCCCAAAUGCGAUGCAAAUGUCAAAUUGAAUUUAAGUUCCAUAAUUAAUCAUGUGAGGGUCCGAGCCGCUCAUGACCGUGAGCACGGCUAGUAUACCAGUUUUACACUCUGCAGAGGUUGCGCAUCUUUACCCACAAGUCAUGUUACCCAUCUGCCAAGAGAUGGCCAAUCCCAUACACCUCUACCGAGGAGGCGAGGCAGGGUAACACUACGAGGCCUUUACAAAGUUCCACUAGCUUCAGAAAUCCCGCUACAGUUUAUAGGAAGCUCCAAUACAGGGUUCUUGCCUGACCGCCAUCGCAGCAAAAUCAACCCAAGGACCUCCCUACACUGACCACUCCCCUACUGCCCUUGCCCCUUUCGGGUAAGGAAGACCUCCACUAGCUUUCCUAGUUAAUCAGCCAAGGGCGUCCCAUUAUACCCUUGUGGUAGCACUGUUUUCCCGGGUGGUCGCUCCAUGUUCCCAUUAAUUUAAUGAUCUUAACAUGAACAGUAAUAAUAACAAGAUAAUAACAGGAUAAUCAUGUGUAGUAUAACUCCAUACCCAAUCCACAUAAAGCAAUAGCAAGUACUACCCAAAAAUAUUUCAGGGGUGAACAAGGUAUAGAGGUAAUCAAAACUGGGGUAACAUAAAGGAUCCCAUCAAAAUUAACCUAUGCAGAUCAUUAAAAUUAAUAAGAACAUGGCUGGGAAAAGUAAGUGAUCAAGGGCACAACUUGCCUUCAAUGAGCUCCUGCUCAGCUAUCUCUACUUGCUGAACCUCAGAUUCCACAGUGGCUUGCUCGUCUACUCGCAUCAACACAAUACAUACAUAGUAUAGCACCAAUUAACAUUGCACCAAACAUGUGAAUAAAAUACACAAUAAAAUUUUACGCAUUAAAAUAAGAACCUAGGAACAGGAAUCAUAAUUUUUAGAGUUAUAGAUUUUAAGUUAUGAAUUUCCUAAGGUUUAAUGUGCUUGAGAUAGGAUUAAAUGAUAAAUUAAUUUUCUUACUGUUUUCAUGCCAAAACAGAGGCACUAAAUGAUAGAGGAUAUUAUUAAAAAAUUUUAGAAAUAUGGCUCAAUUUGGAGCUAUAAUGAAUUUAAUAUGAUUUAUCCAAGUUUCUGGAAUUGUUUUUAUACUAAAAACCUAUUUUCUUUAUUAUUCCUGAAUUUCCUAAGAGUUCUGGACCACAGACAUAAUUAACAGAGAGUUCGGGGCUUAAACUACAAAUUCCAGGGCUCGGUUCUAAUUAUUUAACACUGUGCGCGGAUGGCGGGUUCAUUUGAAAAGAGUCCGAGGGCUCUUUUGCAAAAGUCCCAGGACGAAGGGGUAUGGGGGAUCUCUGGCCGCAAGAUCGACAACGGACGGCUACGAUUAGAUCUGGCCUAUUAUGAAACGUUACGCGACGACGUCCCUCGGAUCAGAGACCAACGGUGUGGAUUUAAAAAAAAUGACCGCGGCAGGUUCACGUCCGUCCGAUAGCAUCCGACGGCUUAGAACCAAUGCGCGAAGCGGUACGACCGCUGCCCUAAUCUGCACCGUCGACCCGUCAAUCAACGGCAACGGCAAUUUGCCCCCAGGCUUCUUCAACCUCACGACGCGGCUAGAGCUACGUGUCGAAGCCCGCGUUGCCACUUCCUCACCGGAGCAACGCGAGCCCACCCCCAGGUGACCCAAUCACGAACCUAACCGGUGAUAGUGCAUAAGUAAGGAUGACGGUACGAAGGGGGCCACUUACUGGCGAAGAUGCCGUGAUGAACACCUUCCACGGCGAGGUAUGGCCCGUGGCGAAUCCACUGGGUCAGGUGAGGGCUCCCGGUGUCCUCCCUGUUCCCCCGCGGCCACCAGUACGCGCUCGGUACGGUCUUGCGCGCGCACCGGUCUGCGUCCAGGAUACCGAGAUGAAGCACACGCCCCCAAAUCCAUUGGCGCCCGUGAUUCCUUCUCAUCUCCACGAACUCGUCAAUGGCGACCACUCAUCACCCCGGUUUGCGCGACU
rnacentral:lncRNA from 1 species